rnacentral:rRNA from 1 species
GAUGAACGCUGGCGGCGUGCCUAAUACAUGCAAGUCGAGCGAACAGAUAAGGAGCUUGCUCCUUUGACGUUAGCGGCGGACGGGUGAGUUACACGUGGAUAACCUACCUAUAAGACUGGGAUAACUUCGGGAAACCGGAGCUAAUACCGGAUAACAUAUUGAACCGCAUGGUUCAAUAGUGAAAGGCGGCUUUGCUGUCACUUAUAGAUGGAUCCGCGCCGUAUUAGCUAGUUGGUAAGGUAACGGCUUACCAAGGCAACGAUACGUAGCCGACCUGAGAGGGUGAUCGGCCACACUGGAACUGAGACACGGUCCAGACUCCUACGGGAGGCAGCAGUAGGGAAUCGUCCGCAAUGGGCGAAAGCAUGACGGAGCAACGCCGCGUGAGUGAUGAAGGUCUUCGGAUCGUAAAACUCUGUUAUCAGGGAAGAACAAAUGUGUAAGUAACUGUGCACAUCUUGACGGUACCUGAUCAGAAAGCCACGGCUAACUACGUG